rnacentral:rRNA from 1 species
AGAAUCAACGCUGGCGGCGUGCCUAACAUAUGCAAGUCGAACGAGAAAGGGACUUCGGUCCUGAGUACAGUGGCGCACGGGUGAGUAACACGUGACUAACCUACCCUGGAGUGGGGAAUAACUGAGGGAAACCUUAGCUAAUACCGCAUAAUACCUACGGGUCAAAGGAGCAAUUCGCUUCAGGAGGGGGUCGCGGCCGAUUAGCUAGUUGGCGGGGUAAUGGCCCACCAAGGCAAUGAUCGGUA